UACGUAGGGGGCAAGCGUUAUCCGGAUUUACUGGGUGUAAAGGGAGCGUAGACGGCAAUGCAAGUCUGAAGUGAAAGCCCGCGGCUCAACUGCGGAACUGCUUUGGAAACUGUAUAGCUAGAGUGUCGGAGAGGUGAGUGGAAUUCCCAGUGUAGCGGUGAAAUGCGUAGAUAUUGGGAAGAACACCAGUGGCGAAGGCGGCUCACUGGACGAUAACUGACGUUGAGGCUCGAAAGCGUGGGGAGCAAAC
rnacentral:rRNA from 1 species